rnacentral:rRNA from 1 species
AUUGAACGCUGGCGGCAUGCCUUACACAUGCAAAUCGAACGGUAACGGGCCUUCGGGUGCCGACGAGUGGCGAACGGGUGAGUAAUACAUCGGAACGUGCCCGAUCGUGGGGGAUAACGAGGCGAAAGCUUUGCUAAUACCGCAUACGAUCUACGGAUGAAAGCAGGGGACCGCAAGGCCUUGCGCGGACGGAGCGGCCGAUGGCAGAUUAGGUAGUUGGUGGGACAAAAGCUUACCAAGCCGACGAUCUGUAGCUGGUCUGAGAGGAUGAUCGGCCACACUGGGACUGAGACACGGCCCAGACUCCUACGGGAGGCAGCAGUGGGGAAUUUUGGACAAUGGGCGCAAGCCUGAUCCAGCCAUGCCGCGUGCAGGAUGAAGGCCUUCGGGUUGUAAACUGAUUUUGUACGGAACGAAAAGCCUUCUUUUAAUACAGGAGGGUCAUGACGGUACCGUAAGAAUAAGCACCGGCUAACUACGUG